rnacentral:lncRNA from 1 species
AAAACAUUGCAAACGACUAAAUAAAUAAUCAAGAAAUACAUUUAACAAUUAAAAGAUAAUUAAUCAACUACGCAAAUGAAUAUUUUUUUAAAAAUCAAAUAAUUAUUAAUCUAGAUAAGAUGAUUAAUUAAGAAAAAUAAAUAAAAUAAAAUAAAUAAAAUAAAAAAUAAAUAAAUAAUAAAAGGGGAGUGUAGAAAUGAUUAGGCCAAGGUGCAAAUAUCAAGCUGACUUGGGUCUAAC